rnacentral:lncRNA from 1 species
AUGCUGCGCGGCCGCACACCUGCUGCACCCGCGCCCCCGCCGCCCUCGCGGGGCGCCCACCCGGCUCCGCGCGCCCCAGCCGGCGGCCGCGCUAGGCCGGGACGGGAAGCCGCGGCGCCCCUGGCCGCGGGGCUGCGCGGGGGAGCGCGGGGGAGCGCGGGGGAGCGCGGGGCGCAGCGAGCCCGCCCUCGGCCCCGAGCCCCUCCAAACGGCGUCACCUGUGCCCUGUGCCGGGUCCGGGGCGCCUGGCGCGCGGGCGCGGUGCACCGGCCGGGAGAGCGACGGGCGCCGCCGAAGCCUGGUCCUCCGGCCCGAGCCCCCGCGAGCUGCUCGGCGGGCCGGGGAGCAGCCCGAGACCACAGCUACCGCCGCGGCCGCCGCGCCCGCCCGGACUGCGGGCUCGGGUUUCCGCACGGCGGCUCCUUAAAGGGGCCGCGGCCGCCCGGGCUCCGGCUCGGCUCCCGCUCCCGCUCCCGCUCCGGCUCCGGCUCCGGCUCCGGCUCCGCUCGCGGCGGCUGCGACCCGCGGCCAAGGUGGGCGGGGCCCGGGCCGGCUGCGGGGGCCGACCUCCGAGGGCAGCGCUCGGUCCCGGAGGCGCAGAGCCGGGAACGCCCGAGGCGAGCACACCUCGCCGGGGACCGGGCGUGCGGCUCCCCCGCUUCCCACAGCGCGAGCCAGACGAGCAGAAUUUUUCAAGAAAAAAUAUUUCAGGAUAUUACCAAUGGUUAUCUCUGGGUGGGUAAGAUCCUUAUGUCUUUUGUGGGGUUUUUGCUUAUCUUAUGUAACUUUUUCCUAUAAUGUGUAUGUAUUGCUUUUGUGUGCAUUUUUAAUGAAAGUAAUACAUAUAAGUGAAUACUCAAAUAGUUCAUAAAGGCUUAUAACAAAAACACUUGAGUCCCAUCAGCCCCUUAACCAAUUUCCUCCCACCAGUUCCACCCCAUGCUCCACAUAACCCUACCAGGUGUUCAUUUCCUAAACAAUAUGCUUAUAUCAAUGUUUCCUGCUUCCAUUUUUAGACAUUAUUUAUUGACUUCUUGUCAUGGAAUUUUGAGGAUAUAGCUCUUUUAUGCAUACCACCACCACCACUUUGCCCUUACCCUUCUCACACAGCUAUGUCACAACUUUUAUUCAAAUCAAUAAUUUGUGUUUUGAUCAUUCUGUCAACAUAAAUACAGUACACUACUGAAUCUAGGAAGCUGCCAUAAUGGUGCUUCUCUUGAAAAUCUCCUGGUCUCCCUGGAGUUAAUAAUUGCUUUUCUUUUUCACUUAUUUUUAAUGUAUCUGACCCAAAUUUUAUCCAGAUGUUUCAACAUAUCAAACACCCAUCAAUAAUAUCUUCAAUGCUCAAACAUUGGAAGUUCACACUCUUAUUUUGCUGAAGCACAGAUUUCAGUAGUUGACUUGGAGAAUGUGUAUAGAAGAUAAACUAUUUUAGCGUGCUUGCAUGUCUGAAAAUAUCUGUAUCCUAAUUCUCAUCCUCAAUUGAUAAUUUGGAUAAGAUAAAGAUCAUUUUUCCUCAGCAUUUUAAAAGCACUGUCCCCCACUGUCUUUUACUUCUAGUGUUGCCACUGAAAUAAAUGCCUAAUGUCUUUCUGGUUCCCCUUCUUCUGUAUGUAGCCAGUUCUUCUUUCUUUUUUUUUUUUUUCUUUUUUUUUUUUUUUUAUUGGUGUUCAAUUUACUAACAUACAGAAUAACACCCAGUGCCCGUCACCCAUUCACUCCCACCCCCCGCCCUCCUCCCCUUCUACCACCCCUAGUUCGUUUCCCAGAGUUAGCAGUCUUUAUGUUCUGUCUCCCUUUCUGAUAUUUCCCGCACAUUUCUUCUCCCUUCCCUU